AGUGAACGCUGGCGGUAGGCCUAACACAUGCAAGUCGAACGGCAGCACAGUAAGAGCUUGCUCUUACGGGUGGCGAGUGGCGGACGGGUGAGGAAUACAUCGGAAUCUACUUUUUCGUGGGGGAUAACGUAGGGAAACUUACGCUAAUACCGCAUACGACCUACGGGUGAAAGCAGGGGAUCUUCGGACCUUGCCCGAUUGGAUGAGCCGAUGUCGGAUUAGCUAGUUGGCGGGGUAAAGGCCCACCAAGGCGACGAUCCGUAGCUGGUCUGAGAGGAUGAUCAGCCACACUGGAACUGAGACACGGUCCAGACUCCUACGGGAGGCAGCAGUGGGGAAUAUUGGACAAUGGGCGCAAGCCUGAUCCAGCCAUACCGCGUGGGUGAAGAAGGCCUUCGGGUUGUAAAGCCCUUUUGUUGGGAAAGAAAAGCAGCAGGUUAAUACCCCGCUGUUCUGACGGUACCCAAAGAAUAAGCACCGGCUAACUUCGUG
rnacentral:rRNA from 1 species